rnacentral:rRNA from 1 species
CCGAAUAGGGGAGCCGGAGGGAAACCGAGUCUUAAUUGGGCGUUAAGUUGCAGGGUAUAGACCCGAAACCCGGUGAUCUAGCCAUGGGCAGGUUGAAGGUUGGGUAACACUAACUGGAGGACCGAACCGACUAAUGUUGAAAAAUUAGCGGAUGACCUGUGGCUGGGGGUGAAAGGCCAAUCAAACCGGGAGAUAGCUGGUUCUCCCCGAAAGCUAUUUAGGUAGCGCCUCGUGAAUUCAUCUCCGGGGGUAGAGCACUGUUUCGGCUAGGGGGCCAUCCCGGCUUACCAACCCGAUGCAAACUGCGAAUACCGGAGAAUGUUAUCACGGGAGACACACGGCGGGUGCUAACGUCCGUCGUGAAGAGGGAAACAACCCAGACCGCCAGCUAAGGUCCCAAAGUCAUGGUUAAGUGGGAAACGAUGUGGGAAGGCCCAGACAGCCAGGAUGUUGGCUUAGAAGCAGCCAUCAUUUAAAGAAAGCGUAAUAGCUCACUGGUCGAGUCGGCCUGCGCGGAAGAUGUAACGGGGCUAAACCAUGCACCGAAGCUGCGGCAG